UACGUAGGGUGCAAGCGUUGUCCGGAAUUAUUGGGCGUAAAGAGCUUGUAGGCGGUUUGUCGCGUCUGCUGUGAAAUUUCGGGGCUCAACCCCGAACUUGCAGUGGGUACGGGCAGACUAGAGUGCGGUAGGGGUAGACUGGAAUUCCUGGUGUAGCGGUGGAAUGCGCAGAUAUCAGGAGGAACACCGAUGGCGAAGGCAGGUCACUGGGCCGCAACUGACGCUGAGGAGCGAAAGCAUGGGGGAGCGAACAGG
rnacentral:rRNA from 1 species